GACGAACGCUGGCGGCGUGCUUAACACAUGCAAGUCGAACGAAGUGGCGAACGGGUGAGUAACGCGUAAUCAACCUGCCCUUCAGAGGGGGAAAACAGUUGGAACCGACUGCUAAUACCGAAUACUGAAGGAGGGGAUUGCGGCGGAUUAGCUCGUUGGCGGGGUAACGGCCCACCAAGGCGAGGAACAGUAGCCGGUCUGAGAGGGAUAACGGGCACAACGGGACUGGGGCAAGGCCCAAGAUCCUACGGGGGGGAGCCGUGGGGAAUCUUUCGCCAUGGAGGGAAGGCCGACUGAGCAAAGCCGCGGGAGUGAUGACGGCCUUCGGGUUGGAAAGCUCUGUUCAUCGGGACGCGGUACCGGAAUAGAAAGCCACGGCUAACUACGUGCCAGCCGCCGCGGUAAUUC
rnacentral:rRNA from 1 species